GCUAUACAUGCAGUCGAGCGAACAGAUAAGGAGCUUGCUCCUUUGACGUUAGCGGCGGACGGGUGAGUAACACGUGGGUAACCUACCUAUAAGACUGGGAUAACUUCGGGAAACCGGAGCUAAUACCGGAUAACAUUUGGAACCGCAUGGUUCUAAAGUGAAAGAUGGUUUUGCUAUCACUUAUAGAUGGACCCGCGCCGUAUUAGCUAGUUGGUAAGGUAACGGCUUACCAAGGCGACGAUACGUAGCCGACCUGAGAGGGUGAUCGGCCACACUGGAACUGAGACACGGUCCAGACUCCUACGGGAGGCAGCAGUAGGGAAUCUUCCGCAAUGGGCGAAAGCCUGACGGAGCAACGCCGCGUGAGUGAUGAAGGGUUUCGGCUCGUAAAACUCUGUUAUUAGGGAAGAACAAACGUGUAAGUAACUGUGCACGUCUUGACGGUACCUAAUCAGAAAGCCACGGCUAACUACGUGCCAGCAGCCGCGGUAAUACGUAGGUGGCAAGCGUUAUCCGGAAUUAUUGGGCGUAAAGCGCGCGUAGGCGGUUUCUUAAGUCUGAUGUGAAAGCCCACGGCUCAACCGUGGAGGGUCAUUGGAAACUGGGAAACUUGAGUGCAGAAGAGGAAAGUGGAAUUCCAUGUGUAGCGGUGAAAUGCGCAGAGAUAUGGAGGAACACCAGUGGCGAAGGCGACUUUCUGGUCUGUAACUGACGCUGAUGUGCGAAAGCGUGGGGAUCAAACAGGAUUAGAUACCCUGGUAGUCCACGCCGUAAACGAUGAGUGCUAAGUGUUAGGGGGUUUCCGCCCCUUAGUGCUGCAGCUAACGCAUUAAGCACUCCGCCUGGGGAGUACGACCGCAAGGUUGAAACUCAAAGGAAUUGACGGGGACCCGCACAAGCGGUGGAGCAUGUGGUUUAAUUCGAAGCAACGCGAAGAACCUUACCAAAUCUUGACAUCCUUUGAAAACUCUAGAGAUAGAGCCUUCCCCUUCGGGGGACAAAGUGACAGGUGGUGCAUGGUUGUCGUCAGCUCGUGUCGUGAGAUGUUGGGUUAAGUCCCGCAACGAGCGCAACCCUUAAGCUUAGUUGCCAUCAUUAAGUUGGGCACUCUAGGUUGACUGCCGGUGACAAACCGGAGGAAGGUGGGGAUGACGUCAAAUCAUCAUGCCCCUUAUGAUUUGGGCUACACACGUGCUACAAUGGACAAUACAAAGGGCAGCUAAACCGCGAGGUCAUGCAAAUCCCAUAAAGUUGUUCUCAGUUCGGAUUGUAGUCUGCAACUCGACUACAUGAAGCUGGAAUCGCUAGUAAUCGUAGAUCAGCAUGCUACGGUGAAUACGUUCCCGGGUCUUGUACACACCGCCCGUCACACCACGAGAGUUUGUAACACCCGAAGCCGGUGGAGUAACCAUUUAUGGAGCUAGCCGUCGAAGUGACA
rnacentral:rRNA from 1 species